AUUGAACGCUGGCGGCAGGCUUAACACAUGCAAGUCGAGCGGGGGAAGGUAGCUUGCUACCGGACCUAGCGGCGGACGGGUGAGUAAUGCUUAGGAAUCUGCCUAUUAGUGGGGGACAACAUCUCGAAAGGGAUGCUAAUACCGCAUACGUCCUACGGGAGAAAGCAGGGGAUCUUCGGACCUUGCGCUAAUAGAUGAGCCUAAGUCGGAUUAGCUAGUUGGUGGGGUAAAGGCCUACCAAGGCGACGACCUGUAGCGGGUCUGAGAGGAUGAUCCGCCACACUGGGACCGAAUCACGGCCCAGACUCCUACGGGAGGCAGCAGUGGGGAAUAUUGGACAAUGGGGUGAACCCUGAUCCAGCCAUGCCGCGUGUGUGAAGAAGGCCUUAUGGUUGUAAAGCACUUUAAGCGAGGAGGAGGCUACUCUAGUGAAUACCUAGGGAUAGUGGACGUUACUCGCAGAAUAAGCACCGGCUAACUCUGUGCCAGCCGCCGCGGUAA
rnacentral:rRNA from 1 species